CCAUUGAUUGAUGUGGCUUAUUUUCAGUUACUGAGAAGUUCUUCAGAAGAGCCACAGCAAUGAAUUUUGGAAAUAUCUGAGACACCAAGGAAAGCAAAGUUUAUUUAAAAAAUCUCUACACAGGCUUAGCAUUUAUUUUUAACACCUAGCAUUCCCACACAGUUAAUGUUCAUGAACACAUACGUUACUUCUUCCUCUUUCCUCUGCACUGGAUAAUCAUUAAAAGAAGUAUCUACGGUUAUAAUGAGCCCAAAAGUUCAACUGGCAUCGACUUAAUAUGUAACCAAAUGGUAUCUUAAAUACAGGACCAGAGUCUUCAUACAAAAUGCCCCUGCUUCAUGUUGCAGCUUGUUUUACUUUUUUCUUCUUUUUUUAAUAAACACCAAUGAGGAGAACAAUCUCAGAGCAGAUCCACCCCAGUCAAAAGACUUAAAGUAAAACAGAUCCCAAAGUAUUUCACAAUUAUUAUUUCAUCAGCGUGAACAAGAACAACAGCUGACCCACAAUAUCAAGUAUGUAACCUGGAAAAAUGGAGAUGCCUUGUUGGGCCUAACACAGCCUGAAACUAAGAGGUUGCAGAAUAAGAAUAUUGUUCAGAAUAUUUCAAUAGUGAAGUGAAAAU
ensembl:lncRNA